rnacentral:lncRNA from 1 species
CCGGGCGCUGGUGAGUUCUAGCCCUUCGCCAGGAACGGCGAUUCUCAGCGUCCUCUCCAGUGGAGGACAGAAGCCCUCCCAGGGUCGCGGGAGAGCCAGCGCAAAGUGGAAGGCACCUUGUACGCUGUGAAGCGGAGAUGCAGAUGUUACCCUAACCAGAAGCCCACCCCGCCACAAAUACUGGAGCGCCCAACAUGCGUGCGCCACCCGCUUCCCUGCAGAGGGCGCCGCGGGCCCGCCUCGCCGAGCGCGGGGUGAGAUCCCAGUAGCCCAGAGCAGCCCGCGGGGCAGGCCCGGGCUGCCGCGGACUCCUCUUGCAGAAAAGCCUUUGAUGCUGUAUUCUUAGCACAUGGAACCCUAAACCAAAGCCUGCACUGGGGCAUUUGUGAGAAGCGUGUGUGCAAAGCCUGAGAGACUCCCCUGUUGGGCAUGCUGCUGGGCAGGGGUGUUCUGGUUUGACUUUGUACAUGUCAGGCCAUCUCAAACUUGUGGCUGCAGCUGUCACUUAGAGUCGCACACCUCCUGAAUUGGUACCUCCAGCCCUGACUUCUCUUCAGUGCUCCAGACACAUGUAUUUCUCUGCUCACCAAACAUCUUCCACACAACAAGCACUUUAAACUGAAAAUAUUCCAAAUCAAACUAAUCACAUUCUGCUUGCUAUCGGCAGCCUUCUUCACUCUCUGAUUCCUUUAUUUUGGUUAGUAGCAGUGUCAUUUACCAAACUGCUCCAGCCAAAAACGCUGGUGUCAGCCUAAACUCCACACUCUUCUUUCACCUCCAUUGUCUAAUGGUCACCAAAGUCUGUCCCUCCUACCCUAGCAUAUCUCACCCUUCCAUUCUCUUG